UGCCCCCCUCCCGCCCCGGGCUCCCGCGGACACGGCCGGGGACGGAGCCAAGGUACGAGUGUCUGCCUAGAAUGUCCAGGCAUGCAAAAAAGCUUAGAGAUCACGAUAUAAAUCCAUGUCUAGCGUGUUCUUUCAUCUGAAGAGCUCACUCCUAUCUUCAUAGAUAUUCUGGCACUUGUUAAAAUAUUUAAACAGUGAGUACAGUAACUUCCCUCAGCUCUGAAGUAUGUUUUCCCCUAUUAAAGGAAACAGAUGCCACUACAAAAUGUAUGAAUGACAACAACUAUAACAAGGAUAUGUGUACUGAUUAUUUUUUGAAGUACAAAAACUGCAGAAAAUUCUGGCAUGAAAUUAUGAUGCAAAGGAAGAGAAAUGGUGUGAAACCAGAGAUGCCUGCAGCAGAAGAAAGAAAAAAAAUCUUGGAAUCUAUGGGGAAGCCCUAUUGACUAGAAACCUGAAUUGACUGUUGUCACUGUACAUAUGAAGAUUUAGCAGCAGCAAGUUACCAUUUUAUGAACUGGAUUUUACUGUUGCCGUAUUUUGGAUUAAAAUAAGAUCUUAAACUUUGAAA